UGUAGGUGGCUAUGUAAGUUGGACGUGAAAACUCCGGGCUUAACUUGGAGAGGCCGUUCAAUACUGCGUAGCUUGAGUAUGUCAGAGGGAAGUAGAAUUCCUGGUGUAGCAGUGAAAUGCGUAGAUAUCAGGAGGAAUACCCGUGGCGAAGGCGGCUUCCUGGGACAUAACUGACACUGAGAAGCGAAAGCUAGGGGAGCAAACGGGAUUAGAAACCCCGGUAGUCCUAGCUGUAAACGAUGGAUGCUAGGUGUGAGCAGAACUAACCCUGCGCGUGCCGAAGCUAACGCGUUAAGCAUCCCGCCUGGGAACUACGAGCGCAAGCUUAAAACUCAAAGGAAUUGACGGGGACCCGCACAAGCAGCGGAGCGUGUGGUUUAAUUCGAUGCUACACGAAGAACCUUACCCAGGUUUGACAUACAGGUAGUAGUGAAGCGAAAGCGGAACGACCCGCAAGGGAGCCUGAACAGGUGUUGCAUGGCUGUCGUCAGCUCGUGUCGUGAGAUGUUGGUUUAAGUACCCUAACGAGCGCAACCCUCGUUGCCAGUUACAAGUGUCUGGCGAGACUGCCGGCCGCAAGCCGGAGGAAGGCGGGGAUGACGUCAAGUCAGCAUGGCCUUUAUAUCUGGGGCUACACACACGCUACAAUGGGUAGCAACAAUGGGUUGCCAAGCCGCGAGGUGGAGCCAAUCCCAUAAAACUGCCCUCAGUUCAGAUUGCAGGCUGCAACCCGCCUGCAUGAAGUCGGAGUUGCUAGUAAACGCGCGUCAGCUAUAG
rnacentral:rRNA from 1 species